rnacentral:lncRNA from 1 species
UCUGACAUAAGGUGUUUAUUAUUUCACAUAAAUCUGUAAGCCCAUUUCCCCCUCUUUCUCAAAGAUAGUAUUCAUUUGACCUUGGGUGGAUAUAUUUUUUAUGUUAAGUCAAGCAGAUGAUCUCCUGGAAACAUAUAAUUGGUUGAGAAACCACAAAUUAGUCUCUAUUGAUAAUUUGAACUUAAUAUGUAACCUUGGGAGUUAUAAUGUGAUCAUGCCUUGUAGCUUUCUUUCUUUUGGUCAAGGCCCAGCUAUGCUGUAUUUCUACCUUUUACUCAUAAAUUCUUAUAUUUAAUGUUUACAUUUUUCCUUGACUUGGUUUGUGUUUCUUUGAACAAAAAAACUCAAUUUAUACAAUACAUAUGAGUUAAAUCUCUUGAUUGUAGCAAAUGUUUCAGUAUUACUUGAAUGUAAAGGUGACUACAGUGAACUGUUCAACAUUUCUAUCAAUAAUAUUUUAGUUCUUAAUUAUGAGCAGAAGAGAAUAAAAUCAGAUAGAAGGCUGAGUAGUUCAUGCAAAGCAGACCUACCUCAAAGUUGUCUCUUUUAUAAAGACUUCUUAAAUGCUCAAUAUACACAGCUAUUCAAUGUCCUCCUUUUUGGCUCUCAAAACAUUGGGUCUCAGAUAUUUAGAUGUUCUUGUCCAGUUAAGAGCAGAGAAUCUAAAUAUAUCCCAGAAUUUCCCACCUUAUCAUCUAUAUCACCAUAUUUCCAUAAAGUAAAGAAUUAUCUUCACUUAAAAAAAAUCAGGAAAAGGCUGAUCUGAAGAUGAUGAGUUAUCUCAAUUGAUUGUUCAGCCAGUUACAGAUCCAACUCCUUGCUCUAUUCUUUCCUCUCUUCUCACUACUGCACUUGGCUAGGAAAAAAAAAAUCAGAAAAAACCUUUAUUUUAGAAUUAAGUUCAGUUCCUUCAAUUAAACAUAUUUCACUUUAUGCAAAAUAUCUCUACAUUUUUCUUUUUUUAUAAUCAACUGAAACCAAAGCCCUGGUCUUAUAGCACUUGUAAUUCUUCAUUUUUAG